rnacentral:lncRNA from 1 species
CACAGCUCCAGCAGAACACCUAGGUCUGUCUAAGACGCGGCGGAAGGAGACAGAGCAGAAGGAGGUGAAGCAGCCGUUUGCACAUGGAACUACCUGGGCACCAAGCAGUCAUCCGUAGGCUACAGAGCCAAACAUGCAGAACCAACUAUUGCAGAAGAGAGGAAGCAGCAGAGGUGGGAGCAGCAGGCAGCAGAGAGGGAGCUGCAGCAGAGGUGGGAGCAGCAGGCAGCAGAGAGGGAGCUGCAGCAGAGGCUGGAACAACAGGCAACAGAGAGGGAGCCACAGCAGAGGCUGGAGCAGCAGGCAGCAGAGAGGAGGCAGCAGAGGCUGGAGCAGCAGGCAGCAGAGAGGGAGCUGCAGCAGAGGUGGGAGCAGCAGGCAGCAGAGAGGGAGCUGCAGCAGAGGCUGGAACAACAGGCAACAGAGAGGGAGCCACAGCAGAGGCUGGAGCAGCAGGCAGCAGAGAGGAGGCAGCAGAGGCUGGAGCAGCAGGCAGCAGAGAGGGAGCUGCAGCAGAGGUGGGAGCAGCAGGCAGCAGAGAGGGAGCUGCAGCAGAGGCUGGAACAACAGGCAACAGAGAGGGAGCCACAGCAGAGGCUGGAGCAGCAGGCAGCAGAGAGGAGGCAGCAGAGGCUGGAGCAGCAGGCAGCAGAGAGGGAGCAGCAGAGGUUGGAGCAGCAGGCAGAAGAGAGGAGGCAGCAGAGGUUGGAGCAGCAAGCAGCAGAGAGGAAGCAGCAGAGGUUGGAGCAGCAAGCAGCAGAGAGGAAGCAGCAGAGGUUGGAGCAGCAAGCAGCAGAGAGGAGGCAGCAGAGGUUGGAGCAGCAGGCAGCAGAGAGGAAGCAGCAGAGGUUGGAGCAGCAAGCAGCAGAGAGGAGGCAGCAGAGGUUGGAGCAGCAAGCAGCAGAGAGGAGGCAGCAGAGGUUGGAGCAGCAAGCAGCAGAGAGGAGGCAGCAGAGAGGAAACAGAAGCAGAAAGGAAGCAGCAGCAGAGAGGAAACAGAAGCAGAGAGGAAGUAGCAGAUCCUCGAUGAGUGAUCCACAAAGAACACAGAGCAGCUGCAAGAGAGAAACACCAAAUUACAACACACACACACACACACGCACGCACGUGCGCGCGCACACACACA